UAUCUUUAUACUUUAAACAAUUAUACAGUAGUUUUUGAAUAUAUAAAUAUUUAGGAAGUGUUAUAACAAGCAAUGGAAAAUAUAUUCAAGAAAUAAUAUGAUGCAGAUUACAAAAGACACGUUCCAAAGAAAAAAAAACCUACUUACUUCCUGAAAUAUAAAUAUAAAAAGACGUCCCAGGAUAAUGGGGAUGGGUGCAGCCACUGUUAUAGAUAAUUUAUAAUGUACACCUGUAAGCAUCAAUAAACCGUUGCUUCCAAAAAAACGAUUCCAAGCGGAGUUCAAUUGAUAGUGAUGCUUUGUCAACGAUAUAUAUGUUAUUUUAUAGUAAAAUAAUUAAAUAGGCUAUAUAUAUUUUCUUUAAUAAUAUUUGUUCAAUAUUGUACAGAUUUUCUCAGAUUUCCUACGUUUAUCCCGGUUUUUCACAUUUGCUGAAAAAACUUUUGAGAAAAGUAUACUUAUCAAGUAUAACACCUUUUCUGAAAGGACAUUUUCUCUGGGUGUUACUUCAAAGAGAUCAUUUUUUGAAACUCUCAUUAAUAUUCGAGAUAAUGAGGAAAACCUCGAUCCACAAGUUAAGGAUUUGAAAGAUUAAAAACAAGGUUGUCAUUGGCAACCGUUAUUAUUUGUUUUUGUUAUUAUUAAGUUUUUAUUAUUUUAAUCUUUUUUAAACAAUCAUUGUUGGCAUGAAAAC